GUGAGGAAUAUUGGUCAAUGGGCGGAAGCCUGAACCAGCCAUCCCGCGUGCAGGAAGAAUGCGCUAUGCGUUGUAAACUGCUUUUCCAGGGGAAGAAAAUUUCGUACGAGUACGGGACUGACGGUACCUUGGGAAUAAGCAUCGGCUAACUCCGUGCCAGCAGCCGCGGUAAUACGGAGGAUGCGAGCGUUAUCCGGAUUUAUUGGGUUUAAAGGGUGCGUAGGCGGACUAAUAAGUCAGUGGUGAAAAGUUGCAGCUUAACUGUAGAAGUGCCAUUGAUACUGUUAGACUUGAGUAUGGUCAAGGUAGGCGGAAUGUGUAAUGUAGCGGUGAAAUGCUUAGAUAUUACACAGAACACCGAUUGCGAAGGCAGCUUGCUGGGCCAUUACUGACGCUGAUGCACGAAAGCGUGGGGAGCAAACAGGAUUAGAUACCCGGGUAGUCC
rnacentral:rRNA from 1 species